rnacentral:rRNA from 1 species
ACUAAGCGGCGGACGGGUGAGUAACGCGUGGGUAACCUGCCUCAUACAGGGGGAUAACAGUUGGAAACGGCUGCUAAUACCGCAUAAGCGCACAGUACCGCAUGGUACGGUGUGAAAAACUCCGGUGGUAUGAGAUGGACCCGCGUCUGAUUAGGUAGUUGGUGGGGUAACGGCCUACCAAGCCGACGAUCAGUAGCCGACCUGAGAGGGUGACCGGCCACAUUGGGACUGAGACACGGCCCAA